UACGAAGGGGGCUAGCGUUUGUUCGGAUUUACUGGGCGUAAAGCGCACGUAGGCGGAUCGUUAAGUCGGGGGUGAAAUCCUGGAGCUCAACUCCAGAACUGCCUUCGAUACUGGCGAUCUCGAGUCCGGAAGAGGUGAGUGGAACUCCUAGUGUAGAGGUGGAAUUCGUAGAUAUUAGGAAGAACACCAGUGGCGAAGGCGGCUCACUGGUCCGGUACUGACGCUGAGGUGCGAAAGCGUGGGGAGCAAACAGG
rnacentral:rRNA from 1 species